rnacentral:rRNA from 1 species
UACGGAGGAUGCGAGCGUUAUCCGGAUUUAUUGGGUUCAAAGGGUGCGUAGGCGGACUGUCAAGUCAGCGGUAAAAUUGAGAGGCUCAACCUCUUCCCGCCGUUGAAACUGGUGGUCUUGAGUGGAUGAGAAGUACGCGGAAUGCGUGGUGUAGCGGUGAAAUGCAUAGAUAUCACGCAGAACUCCGAUUGCGAAGGCAGCGUACCGGCAUCCAACUGACGCUGAGGCACGAAAGCGUGGGGAGCAAACAGG